GGGUUGUGAGGUUAAGCGACUAAGCGUACACGGUGGAUGCCCUGGCAGUCAGAGGCGAUGAAGGACGUGCUAAUCUGCGAAAAGCGUCGGUAAGGUGAUAUGAACCGUUAUAACCGGCGAUGUCCGAAUGGGGAAACCCAGUGUGAUUCGUCACACUAUCGUUAACUGAAUACAUAGGUUAACGAGGCGAACCGGGGGAACUGAAACAUCUAAGUACCCCGAGGAAAAGAAAUCAACCGAGAUUCCCCCAGUAGCGGCGAGCGAACGGGGAGCAGCCCAGAGUCUGAAUCAGCUUGUGUGUUAGUGGAACGGUCUGGAAAGUCCGACGGUACAGGGUGAUAGUCCCGUACACCAAAAUGCACAGGUUGUGAACUCGAAGAGUAGGGCGGGACACGUGGUAUCCUGUCUGAAUAUGGGGGGACCAUCCUCCAAGGCUAAAUACUCCUGACUGACCGAUAGUGAACCAGUACCGUGAGGGAAAGGCGAAAAGAACCCCGGCGAGGGGAGUGAAAAAGAACCUGAAACCGUGUACGUACAAGCAGUGGGAGCACCUUCGGGUGUGACUGCGUACCUUUUGUAUAAUGGGUCAGCGACUUAUAUUCUGUAGCAAGGUUAACCGUAUAGGGGAGCCGCAGGGAAACCGAGUCUUAACUGGGCGUUAAGUUGCAGGGUAUAGACCCGAAACCCGGUGAUCUAGCCAUGGGCAGGUUGAAGGUUGGGUAACACUAACUGGAGGACCGAACCGACUAAUGUUGAAAAAUUAGCGGAUGACUUGUGGCUGGGGGUGAAAGGCCAAUCAAACCGGGAGAUAGCUGGUUCUCCCCGAAAGCUAUUUAGGUAGCGCCUCGUGAACUCAUCUUCGGGGGUAGAGCACUGUUUCGGCUAGGGGGUCAUCCCGACUUACCAACCCGAUGCAAACUACGAAUACCGAAGAAUGUUAUCACGGGAGACACACGGCGGGUGCUAACGUCCGUCGUGAAGAGGGAAACAACCCAGACCGCCAGCUAAGGUCCCAAAGUCAUGGUUAAGUGGGAAACGAUGUGGGAAGGCACAGACAGCCAGGAUGUUGGCUUAGAAGCAGCCAUCAUUUAAAGAAAGCGUAAUAGCUCACUGGUCGAGUCGGCCUGCGCGGAAGAUGUAACGGGGCUAAACCAUGCACCGAAGCUGCGGCAGCGACACUAUGUGUUGUUGGGUAGGGGAGCGUUCUGUAAGCCUGCGAAGGUGACCUGUGAGGGUUGCUGGAGGUAUCAGAAGUGCGAAUGCUGACAUAAGUAACGAUAAAGCGGGUGAAAAGCCCGCUCGCCGGAAGACCAAGGGUUCCUGUCCAACGUUAAUCGGGGCAGGGUGAGUCGACCCCUAAGGCGAGGCCGAAAGGCGUAGUCGAUGGGAAACAGGUUAAUAUUCCUGUACUUGGUGUUACUGCGAAGGGGGGACGGAGAAGGCUAUGUUAGCCGGGCGACGGUUGUCCCGGUUUAAGCAUGUAGGCUGAUUGUCCAGGCAAAUCCGGAUAAUCAAGGCUGAGGUGUGAUGACGAGGCACUACGGUGCUGAAGUAACAAAUGCCCUGCUUCCAGGAAAAGCCUCUAAGCAUCAGGUAACAUUAAAUCGUACCCCAAACCGACACAGGUGGUCAGGUAGAGAAUACCAAGGCGCUUGAGAGAACUCGGGUGAAGGAACUAGGCAAAAUGGUGCCGUAACUUCGGGAGAAGGCACGCUGGUGUGUAGGUGAAGUCCCUGCGGAUGGAGCUGAGACCAGUCGAAGAUACCAGCUGGCUGCAACUGUUUAUUAAAAACACAGCACUGUGCAAACACGAAAGUGGACGUAUACGGUGUGACGCCUGCCCGGUGCCGGAAGGUUAAUUGAUGGGGUUAUCCGUAAGGAGAAGCUCUUGAUCGAAGCCCCGGUAAACGGCGGCCGUAACUAUAACGGUCCUAAGGUAGCGAAAUUCCUUGUCGGGUAAGUUCCGACCUGCACGAAUGGCGUAAUGAUGGCCAGGCUGUCUCCACCCGAGACUCAGUGAAAUUGAACUCGCUGUGAAGAUGCAGUGUACCCGCGGCAAGACGGAAAGACCCCGUGAACCUUUACUAUAGCUUGACACUGAACAUUGAGCCUUGAUGUGUAGGAUAGGUGGGAGGCUUUGAAGCGUGGACGCCAGUCUGCGUGGAGCCAACCUUGAAAUACCACCCUUUAAUGUUUGAUGUUCUAACGUUGGCCCCUUACCGGGGUUGCGGACAGUGUCUGGUGGGUAGUUUGACUGGGGCGGUCUCCUCCCAAAGCGUAACGGAGGAGCACGAAGGUUAGCUAAUCCUGGUCGGACAUCAGGAGGUUAGUGCAAUGGCAUAAGCUAGCUUGACUGCGAGCGUGACGGCGCGAGCAGGUGCGAAAGCAGGUCAUAGUGAUCCGGUGGUUCUGAAUGGAAGGGCCAUCGCUCAACGGAUAAAAGGUACUCCGGGGAUAACAGGCUGAUACCGCCCAAGAGUUCAUAUCGACGGCGGUGUUUGGCACCUCGAUGUCGGCUCAUCACAUCCUGGGGCUGAAGUAGGUCCCAAGGGUAUGGCUGUUCGCCAUUUAAAGUGGUACGCGAGCUGGGUUUAGAACGUCGUGAGACAGUUCGGUCCCUAUCUGCCGUGGGCGCUGGAGAAUUGAGGGGGGCUGCUCCUAGUACGAGAGGACCGGAGUGGACGCAUCACUGGUGUUCGGGUUGUCAUGCCAAUGGCACUGCCCGGUAGCUAAAUGCGGAAGAGAUAAGUGCUGAAAGCAUCUAAGCACGAAACUUGCCCCGAGAUGAGUUCUCCCUGAGACUUUAAGUCUCCUGAAGGAACGUUGAAGACGACGACGUUGAUAGGCCGGGUGUGUAAGCGCAGCGAUGCGUUGAGCUAACCGGUACUAAUGAACCGUGAGGCUUAACCUUACAACGCCGAAG
rnacentral:rRNA from 1 species